ensembl:lncRNA
GAUUCUUCUGUCGCUGUUCUUGAAGAUCGAAGCAGGAGCAAGGAGUUUAAGUAAGAAUCUCAGGCUGGCUUGGAAGCUGACGCAAUGGAGAUGGCUUACGCACCUGAACUGUGUUGCCACACAGGGAAUGAAACCAUCUAAGGAUCUAAACAAGAACCACCAAAGGCUCAGCACUCGCUACAGUGUUGCUUAUGCUACAAUGAGGUGUUAAGCCCACUUGUAGAUAGGAAAUUAAGUCACCCAGGCCCGUGAGAAGUAUCAGAUCCCUCAUAUUCAUUGAGAGCCUCAAUCCUUUCUUUCAACCUCCCUCUUGUUUUCACUCAAUUUAGGAGAGCUGGGGACCGAACCCAGGGCCUUGUGCUUCCUAGAGACUUCCGGGCCCCUGGCUGCUGUAGGACAAGCCCCCCAAGAAACAGUGACUCCCCACAAUCUACAGCUGCCAAAAUUGUUGCCCUAGUCUCACAGAACUGCCCUGGGCACAAACUGACCAGCAAUGGCCUUUCGAGGAAGCGAAGAUGCUUGUGAUAAAUUCUCUUCCAGACAGUUGGACAUCUGCUCUCCUUAGAGGGACGACUUCUAUGGUAGAAGCAUCUACUGUCUACUUGCUGCCCUGAGGACUGCUGUCAGAAUAAAACCCACAGGGGCAGUUAAGGCUUUGUGUGAGAGAAUAUGGAUUCUAGAAGCUUCCUUGAGACGUAUGAAUGUUCUCAGGGGGAGAGGAGGAGGGAUACUUUGUACCUGCUAGCGAUUCCUUUCAAACUUGCUCCCUUCUGUUCCCUGAGGCCUCCCUGUUAUUAUGAUUUUUUAGUCAUUUAUUUUUGUGUUUCACUUAAACCUCUUGUUCGUCGUUGAUGUGCAGACUUUGGGUCUGGUUAAUUUUAGUCCAUGAUGUUCUUUAUUCCCAGGUUUUUUUUUUAUAAUAAAGUUUAUUUUAAAAAUCAACUUUGCGUGGGCAGGAGAGAUGGUGAAAUGCUUUAAAAGCAGUUGUCCUUCAUGCAGAAGACACAGGUUCGUUUACCAGAACCCAUUUAAUGGCUCACAACCGUCCAUAACGCCAGUUCCAGGGGAAUCCAAAGUCUUCUGGCCUCCAGGGCACUGCAUGCAUGAGGUACCCAGCCAUACAUGCACACAAAAACCGACUUUGAAAUGACUUCUUUUUCUUAUUUCUUCUGAUUUCUCAGCAACAUUUGCUUUAGGAAAAAAAAUUUUUUUAAAGGUGAAGCAAAUAUACAAAACAGAGAAGAAAACCAUCAAUCAGCCCCAAGCAAAAUUAACCUUUUGGCCUUUUUCCUUCCGGUUAUUUCCUGUGUGCGUUUCUUCAGCUUUCCAUGG